UACGGGGGGGGCAAGCGUUGUUCGGAAUUACUGGGCGUAAAGGGCGCGUAGGCGGCCUUCUAAGUCAGACGUGAAAUCCCUCGGCUCAACCGAGGAACUGCGUCUGAUACUGGAAGGCUUGAAUCCGGGAGAGGGAUGUGGAAUUCCAGGUGUAGCGGUGAAAUGCGUAGAUAUCUGGAGGAACAUCGGUGGCGAAGGCGGCAUCCUGGACCGGUAUUGACGCUGAGGCGCGAAAGCUAGGGGAGCAAACGGG
rnacentral:rRNA from 1 species